rnacentral:rRNA from 1 species
AUUGAACGCUGGCGGCAGGCUUAACACAUGCAAGUCGAGCGGGGGAAGGUAGCUUGCUCCCGGACCUAGCGGCGGACGGGUGAGUAAUGCUUAGGAAUCUGCCUAUUAGUGGGGGACAACAUCUCGAAAGGGAUGCUAAUACCGCAUACGUCCUACGGGAGAAAGCAGGGGAUCUUCGGACCUUGCGCUAAUAGAUGAGCCUAAGUCGGAUUAGCUAGUUGGUGGGGUAAAGGCCUACCAAGGCGACGAUCUGUAGCGGGUCUGAGAGGAUGAUCCGCCACACUGGGACUGAGACACGGCCCAGACUCCUACGGGAGGCAGCAGUGGGGAAUAUUGGACAAUGGGGGGAACCCUGAUCCAGCCAUGCCGCGUGGGUGAAGAAGGCCUUAUGGUUGUAAAGCACUUUAAGCGAGGAGGAGGCUACUUUAGUUAAUACCUAGAGAUAGUGGACGUUACUCGCAGAAUAAGCACCGGCUAACUCUGUG